rnacentral:lncRNA from 10 species
CACCACUGCACUCCAGCCUGGGUGACAGAGUGAAAUUCUGUCAAAGAAAGAAAAGAAAGAGAAAGAAAAGGAAGAAAGGAAGGAAGGAAGCGUAUCUCCAUUUUCAUCCAAACAGAUUCCUGCAGGUAGACACCAAGGAUCUCCUCAGAGCCAGCGCUGAUCUCAUCCACAGAGGGAUCACAUGACCUCAUCUGGGAAAAUAUAAACCCUACCCACCUGCCUGCCCAUUUGGAAAUGCAGACUGGAGGACGCUAAGUUCAUUCUUACCUAUGUACUAACAAGUACACAAGAAGAUGCUCAAUAUCAUUAGUCCUUGGGGAAAUGCAAAUUAGAUUAUAAUGAGAUUCCAGUGUACACCCACUAGAAGGCUAUUAAAAAGGACAAUACCAACUGUUGGCAACAAUGUGGAGAAAUGGAACCCCUCCUACGUUUCUGAUGAGAAUGUAAAAUGGUGCAGAUACUUUGGAAAACAGUUUGGCAAUUUAUUAAAAGAUUAAAUAAGCAUAAACUUACUAUAUGACCCAGUAAUUCCACUCUUAGGACUCUGCUCAAGGGAAAUGAAAAUAUACAUCCACACAAAGACUUACACGAGAAUGUUCAUAGCAGCAUUAGAUAUAGUUCAAAACUGGGAAACAAUCCAGAGGUCCAACUAGCAAAUGGAUUUAAAAAUGUGGGGCUGGGGCUGGGCGCGAUGGCUCACACCUGUAAUCCCAGCACUUUG